GUCACGGUAGCUUAGUGGUUAGCGUGUCGAGCUAGCCAUCCGGGGCUCGUGGGUUCGAAUUCCCGCCUUGGCU